UGAAAUUGAAUUUCCUCUAUUUAUUAUGUUGAAAUAGUAAGGGUUGAUUUGAUUAAUGUGGUUAGUUAUGGGUAAAAUGUACAAAUAUCUUAAAUAAGCAAGUGGUUAUAAAAUAUUCAUUGUUGUCGGAGAAUAUUCGUUUGGUCCUGGAAUAUUCUUACUGUCGGAGAAUAUUCGUACGACGGCGCAGCCUUGUGUGGGCCCCAUAACGGAAAGCGAUUGGAUGAAGAAAAUGAC
rnacentral:lncRNA from 1 species